ACGGAGGAUGCGAGCGUUAUCCGGAUUCAUUGGGUUUAAAGGGUGCGUAGGCGGACUAUUAAGUCAGUGGUGAAAUCCUGCAGCUUAACUGCAGAACUGCCAUUGAUACUGAUAGCCUUGAGUUUGGAUAAGGUAGGCGGAAUGUGUAAUGUAGCAGUGAAAUCCUGUAAUCCUUGGGGGACCACCUGUGGCGAAGGCGGCUCACCAGGACGGCUCCGACAGUGAGGCACGAAAGCUGGGGGAGCAAACCG
rnacentral:rRNA from 1 species